rnacentral:lncRNA from 1 species
GUGCACUGCCACAGCCUUGUCUUCUCAAGAAUACUACCAGCUUCGAACUUGCAUUAUGAUCGUACCAAAGCCUAGUUAUUUUUGAUAUUGCCACCAAAAUGACACCAAGAAGAUAUUCUUCAGAUGUCAUACAACCUAGGAUUUGAUUUUUGACUCCAACAUAUGAGAAAAUUAAACCCUAGGGCACACUAGCAACACUUACUAAAAAUCUCACCACCCUUCUUACAACUUUUGCCACUCAAAUUUCUCUUGCCUUUUUCUUAAUUUUUUUCUAAAAUUUUUUAUAUGAUUACCACAUCCCUCC